ensembl:lncRNA
AUUACAAAGACUGGAUAAAGAUCUCUCCUGAGUUCACAAGACCAUGACUAUCGGCAGGAGCUCCAAAAAGAACAUGGGCCCUCGUUCUCCUCCUUUCCUGGACAAGGCUAGUGGAUUCUACGGGCGCUUGGAUGAAAUGUGUGGAGACGAUGUACAGAGAGAGACCACAGAAGAGCAGAUAGGAACCAUACACCGGAGCAGCCAAGACAAUGGGACAGCUCCAAGCUGGAUAGAAGAGGAUGACCAUGUGGUUGAUUUUAACCAGGGUGUGAUGGAUGAUGAUGGGACCACUUUACUGAAGAGAAAGCCCAGCAGACUGAGUCGCCGCUGGAGCAGGAUGAGCUCCAGGAAGGCAAAAUAUGACAAAUUUUCCUCAGAGAAACCCCCGGGUAAGGAGACCAACAAGCCCACCUCUGUACAUCUAAAACCAGAGGUGCCACCAACCACCCAAACCCUGGAGAGCAGCAGAGAACCAGAACCAACACUGGUCCAUUUCUCUGCGAGGGAGCAUGCUGAAGACCAGAUUCUGAUCUCGGAAAAGAAGGAAGGAGAAGGGGAAAUGAAAAACACAAGAAAAGGGAAGACAGAAGGCAAACAGAAUGGAGAGUCAUUGGAAGUUGUAAAGAGAAACACUCUUAAGAAUUAUCGCAAGGCUGUGGACAGAGCUUUCCGUCAAGGAUGGGAGACUUUCGUUGCCAAUCUGUAUAGUGUGACACUGACACCUAUAUCAUCAACCUCGUCUUCAUCCACACCAUCAGACAAAAGUGAAUUGAACAGGAAUGGUGUUUUAGCAGAGUUCAGAUAACAGGAGAACAGACUGACUUGUAUUUUCAACUUGAUGAGUAAUUCCAAUUAUUCAUUUAAAUGUGCUCAAAUAUUUAAUGCAUUGUUGUUCUUACAUAAAACUGAUAGCCACUGAUACAGUUUUAUACUGAUCAUUAUGUAACUUGACAUGAAAGGUCAAUAUUUGAACUUUUUAUCAGUGUAUACAUUUGUUAUCACAGUGCUAAAGAGGCGUCUACCUGAUCUUUGUUCCCUUUGUGAGGAAACACAAGGCCAUAUGCUAUUAUUAUCUGACAUGGAAAGAUUUUGAUAAUGUUUUUGAGCUGUGAACAGUAGCAGAGUUCGUGUAAUUUGGCAAUGAGCCUGUAUUACAGGUUAUGUACCAAAGGGUUAACUCUUAAAAAUUGGGAGCUCAUGGAUUAAAAAAAAAAAAAAAAGUCAUCAACAGGUAACAUCACUGGCAGUGAAGUGUAUAAAUAACUGAGCCAAGAGAUGAAGUGAAGAUGGCUUUUGUGUUUUUUGGACUUAUUUAUCUUCUAUAACUUGCUUGCUGAACCCAAUUUCCUAAUGUCACGUAGGAGAUUUUUUUUUUGUUUUGUUUUGUUUUAUCUGCAUUGUGAUAUCAAAGCAACGCUAAUAAUUAAAAGGAAAAGUGAGAGAAAAUCAACCUGUGUUGCUUGAUUCUGUUCUACUGUACAAAAGUGUUGUUUCCCAUACAGCAAAAAACAUAUCUUUUGUGACCAAAAUAUAUAAAUGUAUGCCAAAUAUAUGUUGCAAACAGUGAAGUUCAAUGAAAUAUAUUUUUGAAAUAGAAAAUAUAUUUAGUUUCAUCCCUCAUAUACAAAAACUACAAAAAUAUAUUUCAGAAUGUGACAUGUGAAUGUGUUCACUAGGAUUGUAAAUAUAUAUAGUGCAA